UACGGAGGUGGCUAGCGUUGUUCGGAAUUACUGGGCGUAAAGCGCACGUAGGCGGACUGGAAAGUCAGGGGUGAAAUCCCGGGGCUCAACCCCGGAACUGCCUUUGAAACUCCCAGUCUUGAGGUCGAGAGAGGUGAGUGGAAUUCCGAGUGUAGAGGUGAAAUUCGUAGAUAUUCGGAGGAACACAAGUGGCGAAGGCGGCUCACUGGCUCGAUACUGGCGCUGAGGUGCGAAAGCGUGGGGAGCAAACAGG
rnacentral:rRNA from 1 species